GAUGAACGCUGGCGGCGUGCCUAAUACAUGCAAGUCGAGCGAACAGACGAGGAGCUUGCUCCUCUGACGUUAGCGGCGGACGGGUGAGUAACACGUGGAUAACCUACCUAUAAGACUGGGAUAACUUCGGGAAACCGGAGCUAAUACCGGAUAAUAUAUUGAACAGCAUGGUUCAAUAGUGAAAGACGGUUUUGCUGUCACUUAUAGAUGGAUCCGCGCCGCAUUAGCUAGUUGGUAAGGUAACGGCUUACCAAGGCGACGAUGCGUAGCCGACCUGAGAGGGUGAUCGGCCACACUGGAACUGAGACACGGUCCAGACUCCUACGGGAGGACGCAGUAGGGAAUCUUCCGCAAUGGGCGAAAGCCUGACGGAGCAACGCCGCGUGAGUGAUGAAGGUCUUCGGAUCGUAAAACUCUGUUAUUAGGGAAGAACAAAUGAGUAAGUAACUAUGCACGUCUUGACGGUACCUAAUCAGAAAGCCACGGCUAACUACGUG
rnacentral:rRNA from 1 species